rnacentral:rRNA from 1 species
AAUAGAUACCCAGGUAGUCCAUGCCGUAAACGUUGGGCACUAGGUGUGGGGGACAUUCCACGUUUUCCGCGCCGUAGCUAACGCAUUAAGUGCCCCGCCUGGGGAGUACGGCCGCAAGGCUAAAACUCAAAGGAAUUGACGGGGGCCCGCACAAGCGGCGGAGCAUGCGGAUUAAUUCGAUGCAACGCGAAGAACCUUACCAAGGCUUGACAUGAACCGGAAAGAUCUGGAAACAGGUCCCCCACUUGUGGUCGGUUUACAGGUGGUGCAUGGUUGUCGUCAGCUCGUGUCGUGAGAUGUUGGGUUAAGUCCCGCAACGAGCGCAACCCUCGUUCUAUGUUGCCAGCACGUGAUGGUGGGGACUCAUAGGAGACUGCCGGGGUCAACUCGGAGGAAGGUGGGGACGACGUCAAAUCAUCAUGCCCCUUAUGUCUUGGGCUUCACGCAUGCUACAAUGGCCGGUACAAAGGGUUGCGAUACUGUGAGGUCGGAGCUAAUCCCAAAAAGCCGGUCUCAGUUCGGAUUGGGGUCUGCAACUCGACCCC